rnacentral:lncRNA from 1 species
UGAUGUAUGAUAUAUGAUGCUACUGAUUGAUGCACAUUUGGAUAGAGAACAGAGAUGUAGCUUGCUACUGAAAGUUUUUGCUAUUGCUACAGUCCCAUUAAUCAACGUAUCUAAACCUGAUAAUAAAUACUACCCAAUUCAUAUCCAGAUGAUUUGCAUCUGUCAUCAAGGAAAAAAGACAUCACUGAACCCUUUGUAUUCUAAUUGCAAGGUUAAAUAAUCUUGUGUGUUCUAACUCUGUGAUAAUCUGCAGUUAUUUGGCUCAUCGUCGUGUCGCAAGUUUCUAACGUCGUUGUACACCGUGGGCUUCGUCGGAAAUCCGUCUGCACGUACUCCACCGUCUGCCGGAACUUCGUCUGACCUGAGGUACAAUCUACAAUGUAAUCAAUUUGCAUGUGUCAUCAACUACUACAUAAGCUCUGAACAAGUCAAUGCCUAAAACACCCCCUGUCCUCAUUACAAGAUGGUCCUGAGGAAAAACAAUAAUUAGAAGUAGUGAUCAAAUGUGAUAAAUCUAGCUAAAUUUGUAUCUAGGAAGAACAGCUAUUGUAUGACACAAAAAUAUAAGAAAAGGUAAACUAAUAUCAUGGUAAUGGCAGAGAGGUAAUUAUUUAAUUGACUAUUUUGUAAGUAGCAAUAAAAGAUGAUAAAGCUAGCUAAAUUUUUAUCUAGGAAGAACAACUGUUGUAUGACAAAGUUUUCAUACCAGUGCUACAUGGUUCCACUCUAAAUCUCUGUACUUAAUUGGCUGAAGGUUUGCAUUAGUGGUUCAAACCAAUGCUAUAAGGUUCCACUUUACUCUCUGUAGUUAAUUGGCUUAAGGUAUACAUAAUUGUUUGUCUCUGAAAAUAUAUAUAGUAAGUCUUCAUAUUAUAACAACUUGAAGAGGUUCAUAAAAAAUGGUACAGGAGUUGCAACAGUCUUGAUCUAGUAUUUUGCAUUUCUUUACAAAGGGAGUACUUAAUAGUUUUGUAUGUUCUUUAGUAUAUGCUCUGGGAUACAAUGAAUGAACAAUGCAGUUACUUUUAUAGUGAUGUUGGUUGCAUAGAAAUUCUAGCUUUAUGUGUUAUUUCUUACGCCGAUUUGCUUAUUCUUUGCUAUAAUUGUGUGUGGUUUCCUAGGGUGGAGAGGCGAACCUCAAAUGCGCAACAUCUGAUCUUGCUCGCUGAGCUGCUAUUCCUGCUAUACAUCCCUUGAAUACAAGCAUGUCUUUAUUUAUUUGUUUAUCUUGCUUUGCUUCAAUGGAAGAAAUAAAAAUAAGAAACAAUUUUUGUGGUGGAUAUCUUGGAAAAUUUGGAACAGUAUUUGAUCUUGGGACAACAACUAUGAAAACAAUUGAUCUUGGAUUUGAGUUUCUUUUAAUCUUUAAAUGAUGUACGGGGCCAAAAAAUUCAGUUAUUUGGUUUUUUAAGUUUGAUAUUUCUGAAACUUGUUAGGAUUUAGGGUGCGUAUCAGGAGAUGUGCAUCACGCUCAAUGGUGAGACGAGAACCUGAUCUGGUCACAUAUUUCUUUUGUUUCUCUGCCAUGUUCAAAUAUAGAAAACAUGUAGCUUAGUCAAUACUAAAUGUUUGGCACCACAGUUUUUUCACAGUAAUCAGAUGUUUUUUUUACUGAAGGCCUUCUCUUACUGCAUGUAUCACUUAAUAUUAACACUUCAACAUUACUCGUGACUUGUGAUGACACCGUGCGUUCAUUGUCCGAUGUGCUGCAGGACCAUUGAAUAGUACCGAGAGCAUACACCUAUUCGUGCCUCAUUAUGCUUUAGUUGGAUGAAGUUUCCCAGAAUAGUUGGCAGUUUACAUUGAUAUGGCAGGCAGGGAUGUGGAAUGACAAAAGAUAAUAUUUUGGAAGAGCUGGUUCUGGAGCUGAUGUACACCUACUUUGAGUACUUCCAAUAUUGUUUUCUACUUCCAAAGUUGUUUGGGUGGUAAAUUAUUUUUCAAGUUUGCAAGCAUAUAUUUAUUAAUUUUCUACCCGUUGCACCGCACAUGCCUUUUGGCUUGGCCUUUGCCCUCCACGCACGCCAGCUGCGGUGGAAGCCUAGCUCCUACAGCUCUGCAGUGAGGCAACACAGAGAGUGACGACAACUUCUGAAGCCAUGGCUAGCCUGUGAUUACCAGAGUGGCGAUGAGUGUGAUUUGGAUACCUGUUUUGUCUGCUCCUUCUGUUUUGAUUUGAGUUGAUGGGGAUGAGAUGUGACCCUAGAGGCUGCAUUUCAGUGGCCAUUGUGCUGGAAAUGAAGAAGCAUGACUAAACCAAGAGGAACAAAAUGCCUGUACGACAGAAACAUUAGUGACAAACAAUUAAGCACAGACUAGCAUCUGUCGAAACUAAUAUUUUGCUGCAAGAAGCAAAAUGUAUGUAUAACAAUAUGAGUAAAAAAAAUUAGGGGCCUUCCCUACCAUUUUUUUUGUUAAAAACAAUAUCAGUAAAAGAAGCCACACUAGCCAUGGUUCAAGAACACAAUGGAAUUGGUUGGACCAAAAUUUCUAUAUAAUAAGAGAAGCAUACAUGGGCAAUGGUUGAAGCAAAAGUUUACUAUCAUGGAAACAUAUACAAAAAAAAGGUUCACUGGAAUGUAUGUACAACAAGUUCAGUAAAGAAGCAACACCGAUCGUGGUUGAAGUCGCUAAUACUGAUUGAAGUACAAACAAAUAUUGGUUGCAGCAGAAUGUAUAUACAAUAAAAUAAGGGCACAUUGGCAAGCAAUGGCUGAAGCAUAAAUUCACAACCAUGGAUAUCUAUGCAAGAAAUAAGGAUAAAAAGCAGGGAGGCCAACCUCAGUACAAGCUCGACAGGAGUUAGAUACCUUGCUACCUUCCAUGUGCUGCUUGUAAUCCGAGAACAUAACCAUGCAACAUAGGUUCAAAAAUCCGUUGAAUAAAUACCAAAAAAUGGGGGAGAUCUCUAGAAUGCUUACAGGAAAUGUUUACAACAAAAAAGCAAAAAGAAGAAGCAGUUUUCAUGGAAGCAACUAUUUAAACAGGAGAAGCAUAUGAACUAAAUUCAGAAUUACCAUCAUAAGUAUGAUCUCAACCUGACCCAUAUUAGAUGGGAGCAUAGAAUUUAAACUACAAGAUCUGAACAUAAAGGAACCAUAAGCUAGCAGAAGAGAUGAGAGAUGAAGGAAGAUUUCGUACAGAGUAACGAGGGUCUUGUUGUCGUUGUGAUGAAAGAAGACAUCCAGGAACCUACAGCAGCAACCUUCGCCGCCGCUGGUGAGCCUCCCCUUGUCCUGGUGUGCGGUUGUUGAAGGCCAACACAGAGUGCUAGAUCGGCGACGGCGCAGCAGCGUGGCGAUGAAUGAGCAUAAUCUGGGCAAGAUCUUUACCUGGGAUUAGGGCGGAAGAAGUGUACCGCAGAGAACGGCAGGGAGGUGGGCUUGUCGACGACUCGAUGGAGAAUGGCGUACCUGUGAUCUGGAUCGGAAGUGCGGAAUAGACGGGAGCGACGGGCCUGGAGGAAGAGGAUGCGGGGUUGUGGGAGGUGGAAGCAGCAGUUUUUUUUUUGACAGAAAAGGUGGAGGCAGCAGAUUAACUCUAUGGUGGAGGACCAGCGCGAGAAAUUAGGGAAGAUUUAUGGG